AUUGAACGCUGGCGGCAGGCCUAACACAUGCAAUUCGAGCGGAGCGGCGGACGGGUACGUAAUGCCUAGGAAUCUGCCUGGUAGUGGGGGAUACCGACCGGAAACGGACGCUAAUACCGCAUACUAUCAGAUGAGCCUAGUUCGGAUUCGCUAGUGGGUGGGGUAAAGGCAUACCAAGUCAACGAUCCGUAACUGGUCUGAGAGGAGGAUCAGUACCACUGGAACUGAGACACGGUCCAGAAGCCUACGGGAGGCAGCAGUGGGGAAUAUGGGACAAUGGGCGAAAGCCUGAUCCAGCCAUGCCGCGUGUGUGAAGAAGGGCUUCGGAUUGUAAAGCACUUUAAGUUGGGAGGCGGUACCAACAGAAUAAGCACCGGCUAACUUCGUGCCAGCAGCCGCGGUAAUAC
rnacentral:rRNA from 1 species